rnacentral:rRNA from 1 species
CCUACGGGUGGCAGCAGUGGGGAAUAUUGCACAAUGGGGGAAACCCUGAUGCAGCGACGCCGCGUGAGUGAAGAAGUAUUUCGGUAUGUAAAGCUCUAUCAGCAGGGAAGAAAAUGACGGUACCUGAUUAAGAAGCCCCGGCUAACUACGUGCCAGCAGCCGCGGUAAUACGGAGGGGGCAAGCGUUAUCCGGAUUUACUGGGUGUAAAGGGAGCGUAGACGGCAGCACAAGUCUGGAGUGAAAUGCCGGGGCUUAACCCCGGAACUGCUUUGGAAACUGUGCAGGUAGAGUGCAGGAGAGGUAAGUGGAAAUCCUAGGGUAGGGGUGAAAUGCGUAGGUAAUAGGAGGAAAAACAGUGGGGAAGGGGGCUUACUGGAAUGUAAAUGAAGUUGAGGGUUGAAAGCGUGGGGAGGAAACAGGAAUAGAAAACCCAGGAGGU